GUGAUUUAACCUGCCCUUGACUCUGGGAUAAGCCUGGGAAACUGGGUCUAAUACCGGAUAUGACCUUCCAUCGCAUGGUGGUUGGUGGAAAGCUUUUGUGGUUUUGGAUGGACUCGCGGCCUAUCAGCUUGUUGGUGGGGUAAUGGCCUACCAAGGCGACGACGGGUAGCCGGCCUGAGAGGGUGACCGGCCACACUGGGACUGAGACACGGCCCAGACUCCUACGGGAGGCAGCAGUGGGGAAUAUUGCACAAUGGGCGCAAGCCUGAUGCAUCGACGCCGCGUGAGGGAUGACGGCCUUCGGGUUGUAAACCUCUUUCAGUAGGGAAGAAGCGUAAGUGACGGUACCUGCAGAAGAAGCGCCGGCUAACUACGUGCCAGCAGCCGCGGUAAUACGUAGGGCGCAAGCGU
rnacentral:rRNA from 1 species